rnacentral:rRNA from 1 species
AUUGAACGCUGGCGGCAGGCCUAACACAUGCAAGUCGAGCGGUAACACAGAGGAGCUUUGCUCCUUGGGUGACGAGCGGCGGACGGGUGAGUAAUGCCUGGGGAUCUGCCCGAUAGAGGGGGAUAACUACGGGAAACUGUAGCUAAUACCGCAUAACGUCUACGGACCAAAGUGGGGGCUCUUCGGACCUCAUGCUAUCGGAUGAACCCAGGUGGGAUUAGCUAGUUGGUGAGGUAAUGGCUCACCAAGGCGACGAUCUCUAACUGGUUUGAGAGAAUGACCAGUCACACUGGAACUGAGACACGGUCCAGACUCCUACGGGAGGCAGCAGUGGGGAAUAUUGCACAAUGGGCGCAAGCCUGAUGCAGCCAUGCCGCGUGUGUGAAGAAGGCCUUCGGGUUGUAAAGCACUUUCAGCGGGGAGGAAGGGUCACUAGUUAAUACCUAGUGGCAUUGACGUUACUCGCAGAAGAAGCACCGGCUAACUCCGUGCCAGCAGCCGCGGUAAUACGGAGGGUGCAAGCGUUAAUCGGAAUUACUGGGCGUAAAGCGCACGCAGGCGGUUUGUUAAGUCAGAUGUGAAAUCCCCGAGCUCAACUUGGGAACUGCAUUUGAAACUGGCAAGCUAGAGUCUUGUAGAGGGGGGUAGAAUUCCAGGUGUAGCGGUGAAAUGCGUAGAGAUCUGGAGGAAUACCGGUGGCGAAGGCGGCCCCCUGGACAAAGACUGACGCUCAGGUGCGAAAGCGUGGGGAGCAAACAGGAUUAGAUACCCUGGUAGUCCACGCUGUAAACGAUGUCGAUUUGGAGGUUGUGCCCUUGAGGCGUGGCUUCCGGAGCUAACGCGUUAAAUCGACCGCCUGGGGAGUACGGCCGCAAGGUUAAAACUCAAAUGAAUUGACGGGGGCCCGCACAAGCGGUGGAGCAUGUGGUUUAAUUCGAUGCAACGCGAAGAACCUUACCUACUCUUGACAUCCAGAGAACUUUCCAGAGAUGGAUUGGUGCCUUCGGGAACUCUGAGACAGGUGCUGCAUGGCUGUCGUCAGCUCGUGUUGUGAAA